UACAGAGGUCUCAAGCGUUGUUCGGAUUCAUUGGGCGUAAAGGGUGCGUAGGCGGCGCGGUAAGUCGGGUGUGAAAUCUCGGAGCUUAACUCCGAAACUGCAUUCGAUACUGCCGUGCUUGAGGACUGGAGAGGAGACUGGAAUUUACGGUGUAGCGGUGAAAUGCGUAGAUAAUCGUAAGGAAGACCAGUGGCGGAAGGCGGGUCUCUGGACAGUUCCUGACGCUGAGGCACGAAGGUCAGGGGAGCAAACGGGG
rnacentral:rRNA from 1 species